rnacentral:rRNA from 1 species
GAUGAACGCUGGCGGCGUGCCUAAUACAUGCCAGUCGAGCGAACAGACGAGGAGCUUGCUCCUCUGACGUUAGCGGCGGACGGGUGAGUAACACGUGGAUAACCUACCUAUAAGACUGGGAUAACUUCGGGAAACCGGCGCUAAUACCGGAUAAUAUAUUGAACCGCAUGGUUCAAUAGUGAAAGACGGUUUUGCUGUCACUUAUAGAUGGAUCCGCGCCGCAUUAGCUAGUGGGUAAGGUAACGGCUUACCAAGGCAACGAUGCGUAGCCGACCUGAGAGGGUGAUCGGCCACACUGGAAGUGAGACACGGUCCAGACUCCUACGGGAGGCAGCAGUAGGGAAUCUUACGCAAUGGGCGAAAGCCUGACGGAGCAACGCCGCGGGAGUGAUGAAGGUCUUCGGAUCGUAAAACUCUGUUAUUAGGGAAGAACAAAUGUGUAAGUAACUAUGCACGUCUUGGCGGUACCUAAUCAGAAAGCCACGGCUAACUACGUG